rnacentral:rRNA from 1 species
UGCCCCCUACGGGAGGCAGCAGUGGGGAAUAUUGCACAAUGGGGGAAACCCUGAACCAGCAACGCCGCGUGAGGGAAGACGGUUUUCGGAUUGUAAACCUCUGUCCUCUGUGAAGAUAAUGACGGUAGCAGAGGAGGAAGCUCCGGCUAACUACGUGCCAGCAGCCGCGGUAAUACGUAGGUGGCAAGCGUUGUCCGGAAUUACUGGGUGUAAAGGGAGCGUAGGCGGGAAGCCAAGUCAGCUGUGAAAACUACGGGCUUAACCUGUAGACUGCAGUUGAAACUGGCUUUCUUGAGUGAAGUAGG